rnacentral:rRNA from 1 species
UACGUAGGGUGCGAGCGUUACUCGGAAUCACUGGGCGUAAAGCGUGCGUAGGCGGUUGGUUAAGUCUGCUGUGAAAGCCCUGGGCUCAACCUGGGAACUGCAGUGGAUACUGGCCAGCUCGAGUGUGAUAGAGGAUGGUGGAAUUCCCGGUGUAGCGGUGAAAUGCGUAGAGAUCGGGAGGAACACCAGUGGCGAAGGCGGCCAUCUGGAUCAACACUGACGCUGAGGCACGAAAGCGUGGGGAGCAACAGG